UUAAGCGACUAAGCGUACACGGUGGAUGCCCUGGCAGUCAGAGGCGAUGAAGGACGUGCUAAUCUGCGAUAAGCGUCGGUAAGGUGAUAUGAACCGUUAUAACCGGCGAUUUCCGAAUGGGGAAACCCAGUGUGAUUCGUCACACUAUCAUUAACUGAAUCCAUAGGUUAAUGAGGCGAACCGGGGGAACUGAAACAUCUAAGUACCCCGAGGAAAAGAAAUCAACCGAGAUUCCCCCAGUAGCGGCGAGCGAACGGGGAGCAGCCCAGAGCCUGAAUCAGUGUGUGUGUUAGUGGAAGCGUCUGGAAAGGCGCGCGAUACAGGGUGACAGCCCCGUACACAAAAAUGCACAUGCUGUGAGCUCGAUGAGUAGGGCGGGACACGUGGUAUCCUGUCUGAAUAUGGGGGGACCAUCCUCCAAGGCUAAAUACUCCUGACUGACCGAUAGUGAACCAGUACCGUGAGGGAAAGGCGAAAAGAACCCCGGCGAGGGGAGUGAAAAAGAACCUGAAACCGUGUACGUACAAGCAGUGGGAGCCUCUUUAUGGGGUGACUGCGUACCUUUUGUAUAAUGGGUCAGCGACUUAUAUUCUGUAGCAAGGUUAACCGAAUAGGGGAGCCGAAGGGAAACCGAGUCUUAACUGGGCGUUAAGUUGCAGGGUAUAGACCCGAAACCCGGUGAUCUAGCCAUGGGCAGGUUGAAGGUUGGGUAACACUAACUGGAGGACCGAACCGACUAAUGUUGAAAAAUUAGCGGAUGACUUGUGGCUGGGGGUGAAAGGCCAAUCAAACCGGGAGAUAGCUGGUUCUCCCCGAAAGCUAUUUAGGUAGCGCCUCGUGAAUUCAUCUCCGGGGGUAGAGCACUGUUUCGGCAAGGGGGUCAUCCCGACUUACCAACCCGAUGCAAACUGCGAAUACCGGAGAAUGUUAUCACGGGAGACACACGGCGGGUGCUAACGUCCGUCGUGAAGAGGGAAACAACCCAGACCGCCAGCUAAGGUCCCAAAGUCAUGGUUAAGUGGGAAACGAUGUGGGAAGGCCCAGACAGCCAGGAUGUUGGCUUAGAAGCAGCCAUCAUUUAAAGAAAGCGUAAUAGCUCACUGGUCGAGUCGGCCUGCGCGGAAGAUGUAACGGGGCUAAACCAUGCACCGAAGCUGCGGCAGCGACGCUUAUGCGUUGUUGGGUAGGGGAGCGUUCUGUAAGCCUGCGAAGGUGUACUGUGAGGUAUGCUGGAGGUAUCAGAAGUGCGAAUGCUGACAUAAGUAACGAUAAAGCGGGUGAAAAGCCCGCUCGCCGGAAGACCAAGGGUUCCUGUCCAACGUUAAUCGGGGCAGGGUGAGUCGACCCCUAAGGCGAGGCCGAAAGGCGUAGUCGAUGGGAAACAGGUUAAUAUUCCUGUACUUGGUGUUACUGCGAAGGGGGGACGGAGAAGGCUAUGUUGGCCGGGCGACGGUUGUCCCGGUUUAAGCGUGUAGGCUGGUUUUCCAGGCAAAUCCGGAAAAUCAAGGCUGAGGCGUGAUGACGAGGCACUACGGUGCUGAAGCAACAAAUGCCCUGCUUCCAGGAAAAGCCUCUAAGCAUCAGGUAACAUCAAAUCGUACCCCAAACCGACACAGGUGGUCAGGUAGAGAAUACCAAGGCGCUUGAGAGAACUCGGGUGAAGGAACUAGGCAAAAUGGUGCCGUAACUUCGGGAGAAGGCACGCUGAUAUGUAGGUGAAGUCCCUUGCGGAUGGAGCUGAAAUCAGUCGAAGAUACCAGCUGGCUGCAACUGUUUAUUAAAAACACAGCACUGUGCAAACACGAAAGUGGACGUAUACGGUGUGACGCCUGCCCGGUGCCGGAAGGUUAAUUGAUGGGGUUAGCGGUAACGCGAAGCUCUUGAUCGAAGCCCCGGUAAACGGCGGCCGUAACUAUAACGGUCCUAAGGUAGCGAAAUUCCUUGUCGGGUAAGUUCCGACCUGCACGAAUGGCGUAAUGAUGGCCAGGCUGUCUCCACCCGAGACUCAGUGAAAUUGAACUCGCUGUGAAGAUGCAGUGUACCCGCGGCAAGACGGAAAGACCCCGUGAACCUUUACUAUAGCUUGACACUGAACAUUGAGCCUUGAUGUGUAGGAUAGGUGGGAGGCUUUGAAGUGUGGACGCCAGUCUGCAUGGAGCCGACCUUGAAAUACCACCCUUUAAUGUUUGAUGUUCUAACGUUGGCCCCUGAUCGGGGUUGCGGACAGUGUCUGGUGGGUAGUUUGACUGGGGCGGUCUCCUCCUAAAGAGUAACGGAGGAGCACGAAGGUUGGCUAAUCCUGGUCGGACAUCAGGAGGUUAGUGCAAUGGCAUAAGCCAGCUUGACUGCGAGCGUGACGGCGCGAGCAGGUGCGAAAGCAGGUCAUAGUGAUCCGGUGGUUCUGAAUGGAAGGGCCAUCGCUCAACGGAUAAAAGGUACUCCGGGGAUAACAGGCUGAUACCGCCCAAGAGUUCAUAUCGACGGCGGUGUUUGGCACCUCGAUGUCGGCUCAUCACAUCCUGGGGCUGAAGUAGGUCCCAAGGGUAUGGCUGUUCGCCAUUUAAAGUGGUACGCGAGCUGGGUUUAGAACGUCGUGAGACAGUUCGGUCCCUAUCUGCCGUGGGCGCUGGAGAACUGAGGGGGGCUGCUCCUAGUACGAGAGGACCGGAGUGGACGCAUCACUGGUGUUCGGGUUGUCAUGCCAAUGGCACUGCCCGGUAGCUAAAUGCGGAAGAGAUAAGUGCUGAAAGCAUCUAAGCACGAAACUUGCCCCGAGAUGAGUUCUCCCUGACUCCCUGAGAGUCCUGAAGGAACGUUGAAGACGACGACGUUGAUAGGCCGGGUGUGUAAGCGCAGCGAUGCGUUGAGCUAACCGGUACUAAUGAACCGUGAGGCUUAACCUU
rnacentral:rRNA from 2 species